rnacentral:rRNA from 1 species
GACGAACGCUGGCGGCGUGCUUAACACAUGCCAGUCGAACGGAAAGGCCCUGCUUUUGUGGGGUGCUCGAGUGGCGAACGGGUGAGUAACACGUGAGUAACCUGCCCUUGACUUUGGGAUAACUUCAGGAAACUGGGGCUAAUACCGGAUAGGAGCUCCUGCUGCAUGGUGGGGGUUGGAAAGUUUCGGCGGUUGAGGAUGGACUCGCGGCUUAUCAGCUUGUUGGUGGGGUAGUGGCUUACCAAGGCUUUGACGGGUAGCCGGCCUGAGAGGGUGACCGGCCACAUUGGGACUGAGAUACGGCCCAGACUCCUACGGGAGGCAGCAGUGGGGAAUAUUGCACAAUGGGCGGAAGCCUGAUGCAGCAACGCCGCGUGCGGGAUGACGGCCUUCGGGUUGUAAACCGCUUUCGCCUGUGACGAAGCGUGAGUGACGGUAAUGGGUAAAGAAGCACCGGCUAACUACGUG